rnacentral:rRNA from 1 species
AACGAACGCUGGCGGCAGGCCUAACACAUGCAAGUCGAACGAGUGGAGGAAGGGUGAAAAAUGUCUGGAAAAAUGCCUGAAGGAGGGGGAGAACUACGGUAAACGGUAGCUAAUACCGAAUAACAUCAGUUGUGCCCAGAGUGGAUUAGAUUGUUGGUGGGGUAACGGCUAACCAAGGAGACUAUCCAUAGCUGGUCUGAGAGGAUGACCAGCCACACUGGAACUGAGACACGGUCCAGACUCCUACGGGAGGCAGCAGUGGGGAAUAUUGGUCAAGGGGCGCAAGCCUGAUGCAGCCAUGCCGCGUGUAUGAAGAAGGCCUUAGGGUUGUAAAGCACUGUCAGCUGGGAAGCGUUACCCUCAUAAGAAGCCCCGGCUAACUCCGUGCCAGCAGCCGCGGUAAUUC